UCUAUCAAAGCGUCCAACUGUCGUCUUACCCAUUCCUGACCCUCUUGAUCCAAGUUAUUCCACCACAUGCACAAAUGUACUCGAGCCUGGUUCCUGAUCACUUCUGGUGUGUGUUGGAUGAGAUUCAUUUGUUCCUGAAGAAAGGUAGGGUUAGGAUUGACUCUAAUGACCCUUUUUAAAACAAGUUUUGGUUUAAAAACAAAAGAUCAUGAUUUUCUCUUUGAUACGCCCGGGUUAGCCGAAUGGCCUUUUUGCAAAAAUGGCCCCUUCCUAAUUCCAUAUGAAUUUUGAGGUCGUAUAGGGUUUAUUCUAUGACACUUCUUGAUUUUGUCCAUUCUUCUACGAAGAUAGCCCUUCGAUAAUAGGAGAAUAUUCUAAGACUAUCUCGGUAAGAACGGUUUUGAAACACUACCGCCACUGAAUCGACUUAUUUCUCGCUUUUUCUUCUCUCUUUUUCUAUUUUUCAAAAUGAGGCCAGACCUUAUGUAGGCUGCCUACAUAUCCCAUAUCCGAUGGGAAUCAGACCCGCGUAGUUCGGCAAAUAUAACUUUUUUUAAAACAAGACCUUAUCCCCUUUUGUUUUUCAAAUAAUAGGCAAAUAAACAAACUAAUUUUGAACACAAGACUCUUUUUAUUUUUAUUGUAAAAAAAUAAGCUAUUUUUGAAAGCAAAACUCUCUUUUCAUUGGCAAUUAGAACAAGCUAUUUUUGAAAACAAAACUCUUUGUUGGCUAUUCUUGAAAACAAAACUUGUUUUUCUUUUUAUUAGCGAUCAAAACUCUUUUCCCUUUUCUUCCCCUUUUUUUACUAAUUUUCUAACAAAACGGCAGAGUUUCGAGGUAUUAUCCGGCAUUGGGUUUUUUCUUUUUCUUUUUCUUAGAACCAGUUUUACUCCUUUCCUACAUCACUCCUUGUCUUUUCCCUCUUUUUCUUUUCUUGUUUUCCUCUGAUUUUUCCUCACUCUUCUUUUCUUAUUUGGUCGGUCACCAUGCAGACCGAAAUAAAUGUUCACAUAACACAAUGGAUGCAUCAUGUUGGUCUGUUAUUUUUUGGGUACACUUGUCCUAAACAGACCCAACCCCUGUGUUGAGUCCCGUAAGUCAAACUUCACGUGGUGCAAAGAAGCGCUCCUACUGGGGAUAUGACAUGAGGCUGUGUUUUUUCUAAGUUUAAAUCCUGGGGUUUUGAUCUAGACAUGGGGUACCCGAGCGGACAACUGGGCCGAGGAGGGGGCGACGUACCGGGAGCGCUAAAGUCUGCACGGCCUUGUCUCUUGCCCAUCCUCGCUCUAUUUGGUAUAAUUUCUACAGAAAAAGUAGGGCUACGCGAACGUAUGCACCAUUUUCAGAAGACUCGGAAGGGGUGGCGUAAGAAAGCAAUUAUAUACAAUUCAACAAUAUUAAAGUGGUAAACAGAUAGCAUUUUAGCACAAAGGUUCACCAAAGUACAAUAAUAUCAACAAUAAAUAAGCCAAGUAAAAAUCAUAAAACAAGCUUGAAACUUGAACCAGAGAUUCUGGGUUACGUCCCCAACAGAGUCGCCAGAGCUGUCACACAUACUUUUUAAUUACUAUACCUCGGAAGGGCAUAAUAUAUGGAGUUUUUCCAAUUUAAGUGACAAUUAAAAAACGGGAUUAAUUAUUAAAAAUUCGAGUCGCCACUUGGGAUAAUUUAUGGUGUCCCAAGUCACAAGUUUAAAGUCCCGAAUCAAGGAAAGAAUGACUAUGUUAUUAUAGUCUGCGAAUCAGAAAUCUGGGUAAGGAAAUCUGUUAACACGGGAGAAGGGGUUAGGCACUCCUGAGUUCCGUGGUUCUAGCAUGGUCGCUUUGAUCCUACUUGGCUUGUUAAAAUUUAAUUACUGAUUUUUAGACCUAUGUGCUUUUGCUUCUUUUACUUCUUUUAAUUAGAAAAUUAUCUUGAAACGGGUUACGCGUACGUACACCCGCUUGUUUGGCGCGUCAAAAAUCAUGCCACGCGAACGUGUCCACAAUUAAUAAUGCUUAAUUAUUUUAAAGAAGAGUUUGGGCCGAAGUUGCGCGAGCGCAUACUCAAGUUCUGUUUUUAUAAGUGUAAUUACGUUACACGGAUGCAUAUGCAAUUGUGCUAGUACUUUUAAGCGGCCCUAAAGGAUAUUCUAUGAAAUAUUAGUUUUGUAUCCAAUUUAUGAAAUUACUAAGAAGGCCCUAUGCGAUUUAAUAAACUCAUGUAAACUAAAAAUAAUUAAAACUUGUAGCCUACUUCAUUAUUAAGAAAAAGAUUGGUCGAAGUUGCUGCGAACACAUAUUCCUUAUUAAUUUAAAAUUAUGGUCAUGUUACGCGAACUUAUACGCAACCACAAUCAAAUUUUAAACGGACCUAAGGACUUGCUACGAACAUUAACCCCUUUUUUAAAGUCAUGAAAAUCCAUAUUGGGGUCGCGCAAUUUGUGAUUUAUUUGGCGCGGAACACCUUAAAUUAUAAGGAUCAAUACCAUUAAACUACAUACCUCAAUAAAUAGUAGUUAACCAUAACUAUUGCUCGGGGAAUCAAAGAUAAUAUACUGUAAUGAACCUAUUUCAAUGAGUGAAUCAAUUCAUCAACCACACUUCUAAAAAAAAAGAAGUUGGACAUGCUACAAAGAAAUGGAAUUCCCAUAAUCUGCUGCUAAAUCUGCGCAAAUCUACUGCCUAAACAGUGCAAAACUUGGCAGCUUUUCACUUGGCUAUCAGUCUAAACAAAUGCCCCAAAACACAAUGAAUCCAACAUAGGUAAGAAAACUUCCAAUAAACCAAUUACCAUUGAGAUGUUUGAAUAAAACAUCUUGACAACAGAAGACACAGGUACCAAACAUCUUCACAGACAAAACAUUUUAGCACUUUGACUUUUAAGAAUUAAAAUCAGCCAAGGGAACAUUCAUACUCCAAAUAAAUAUUAAACAAAACAAACACGAGACUUUGGCAAAUCAAACAAUUAAAGCUUUCAACUGGAAGCCUUUGUCCAUGUUGUUUAGAAAGGAAUGAAACGAGUUUAAUUAGCUUUGGGAAAGGAAUUGAGAAGAAGAAAUGUGAUUGACCUCAACAACACAUAACGUAUUUAAGGAAAUGGGGGUCCCUGUAAACUCAUUGAUGCUUCAACUCGUAACAAUCUGAUUCUAUUGGCCUUAACUCCCAUUAUCUAUUUCUAAACAAAUUGACAAAAUUCAUAACUUUAGUCACAUAUUGAUCUUACCAUAUCAUGGUUUAAUCAUGUUAAGAUAAAGCAGAGAAUCAAACAACAAACCAAUCAGAACAUCCACCAAGGAUGCCAACAGUUUUAGGUCGAGUAAAGAGGAUUCUCGAGUGCAAUUAUCAGUCAGCAAGGCAAAAAGCUAGUGCAUGAAACCAGACAAGACUUGUCUCAAGCUGUAUAGGACAAUUUCAAGAUUCAUUCUAUGCUAAACUUGGCCAGACAAGUGAGAUGUUCAUGAAUAACCACGAAAUCUAUCUAUUUCUGAUUGUGUUAGGAAGAAAUGAAGCUGCAAUGAGUCCAGCAAUGACACUCCCUUUGACAGCUGCAAUUUAGACCAACUACAGCUUUAAAACAAGCACUAAAUUGCUUAUUUCUCAACUUUCAUAGAAGGUCGUGAUAAACACCAAAAAACAAUCGUUUACUGAUUUUAUGAGCUUAUAUUGAAGCUAAAAAGGAACCAAAAAUCCUAUAUUGAAAAUAGGCACAACAAAUUGCAAGCUCAAAUCAACAGAGAAAGAGCUGAUAAUGUUCAAUGAUGCAGCGACUCAAGCAGACAUCCAACCUUGAAUAGGCUGUCCCAUUUCCAUACCAGAACCAUUCCAAUAGACUUUUAGACCCGGAAAAUUGACUCAAAAUCAUGACUUACAUGAAAACUCGAUAUCAUGAUAGCAACUAAAACGAAAGCACAGAAGACGACCCUUCAGACUCAGUUUCUACUGGCUAAAUAUACUCAAAACACAUUAUACCAUUGAGAAGAAAUUCAUCAACAAAAAAUUCAAUCACGGGACAGAAUACCAUUGAACAAAACAUCACCAUUCCAACCACUUUAAAACAGAAAUGUAGAAGAGAAAAGAAAUUUUACCUGAUAUUUCAAACUUCUUGAUAAUUACAGACUCAGCAACACACCUUUCGACUCCAAAUUCUAACGAGAUUCAGCAGCAGCCAGCAAGAUGACAGUAGAAAAUUGAAGUCGACGAGCUUAAAUCUCACCACCAGUUGAAUGACCUUCAUUCAUUUCUAUCUCUUAAGCAUUCAACAAACCAAAUUCAAAAAUAAAUAAUUUUAUACGUGUGUUCCCAUUACACCUUGAAAGAACUCUUCAAAAAAAAAAAUAUUUGAAAACCAGAAGUUCAUUUUAGAAACCUUUCUACCCGUUUUCUCUGAAUUUCUUUUUCAGUCCCCCUCCAAAAUCCAUCCAAAAUUCCCUUUUGAGAACGAAUUCCCGAUGAAUGUAGGGCUUGGAUUGAGUGAAAUCAAUCCAACUCCUCACACUCAUCCAGAAAAUCGUUCCCAGAAGUUUCCAAUCGCGUGCCUUAUCUCCAAAUCGAGCGAGUGAAGGUAAUGAGAAAAUUCGCGUCAGAAACGGUUAGAGAUGGUGAUGAGGAGAGAAGGAGGAACGCGUGAGGAGGGAUUUGAGACUCACUCGCUCAAAGUUUCACGAGUUUGAACGCAGCUUUGCAGUGAAGAAGAGACUGAACAGUCGCUUGGGAUUAGGUCUUCGUGUCUGUGUAUGUAUCGUGUGUUUU
rnacentral:lncRNA from 1 species